CCCUUAGAUCUUCUGGGCCGCACGCGCGUUACAAUGAAUCGUUCAACAGGUUUCUUCCUGAGUCGAAAGGCUUGGGUAAUCCUUUAAAUACGGUUCGUGCUAGGGAUAGAUUUUUGCAAUUAUUAAUCUUGAACGAGGAAUAUUUAGUAAACGCAGGUCAUCAGCCUGCAUUGAUUACGUCCCUGCCCUUUGUACACACCGCCCGUCGCACCAACCGAUUGGAUGUUUUGUUGAAAUAUGUGGAUGCUUGUUGGGUGAAUUCAUUUUUGCUUGAUAGACAGAAACGUAUUAAAACUGAAUAUCUAGAGGAUGGUGAAGUCGUAACA
rnacentral:rRNA from 1 species